rnacentral:rRNA from 1 species
CGGGGGGAGCAAGCGUUGUUCGGAUUUACUGGGCGUAAAGGGCGCGUAGGCGGCCACCGCAAGUCGACUGUGAAAUCUCCGGGCUUAACCCGGAAAGGUCAGCUGAUACUGCGGGGCUAGAGUGCAGAAGGGGCAACUGGAAUUCUCGGUGUAGCGGUGAAAUGCGUAGAUAUCGAGAGGAACACCUGCGGCGAAGGCGGGUUGCUGGGCUGACACUGACGCUGAUGCGCGAAAGCUAGGGGAGCGAACGGGAUUAGAUACCCCGGUAGUCCUAGCCUUAAACGAUGAAUGCUUGGUGUCUGGGGUUUUAUAGUCCCCGGGUGCCGUCGCUAACGCUUUAAGCAUUCCGCCUGGGGAGUACGGUCGCAAGACUG